GAAAAUAGCUCAGCUGGUAGAGCGCAACCUUGCCAAGGUUGAGGUCGCGGGUUCGAACCCCGUUUUUC
rnacentral:tRNA from 1 species